rnacentral:rRNA from 1 species
AUUGAACGCUGGCGGCAGGCCUAACACAUGCAAGUCGAGCGGAUGAAGGGAGCUUGCUCCUGGAUUCAGCGGCGGACGGGUGAGUAAUGCCUAGGAAUCUGCCUGGUAGUGGGGGAUAACGUCCGGAAACGGGCGCUAAUACCGCAUACGUCCUGAGGGAGAAAGUGGGGGAUCUUCGGACCUCAUGCUAUCAGAUGAGCCUAGGUCGGAUUAGCUAGUUGGUGGGGUAAAGGCCUACCAAGGCGACGAUCCGUAACUGGUCUGAGAGGAUGAUCAGUCACACUGGAACUGAGACACGGUCCAGACUCCUACGGGAGGCAGCAGUGGGGAAUAUUGGACAAUGGGCGAAAGCCUGAUCCAGCCAUGCCGCGUGUGUGAAGAAGGUCUUCGGAUUGUAAAGCACUUUAAGUUGGGAGGAAGGGCAGUAAGUUAUUACCUUGCUGUUUUGACGUUACCAACAGAAUAAGCACCGGCUAACUUCGUG